CAUAAUCUUGAUCAGUUGCUGUCAUGGUUGUCAGGAAUUAGAUCUCUUGUUUGAGGCAAGGAGCAGCGAGAAAUGUUUGGAUUUGUUCAGGAGAUUAUCUCCUCAUAUUGCGGAUAGCAUAUAUGUGCCUAAGAUAAAUUGGAAUCUGAGUACUCCUAGACUUCUGACCAUGGAAUUUGUGGAUGCUGCGGAACUAACUGAUGUUACUGGCAUUCAGAGGAUGGGUAUUCAACCUGCAGAUGUCUCAAAAUUAGUACAGUACAAUCGCUAUCUUCUUUCGAAUUGAUAAAGGAAGAAGGGGGAAAGUCAAGAGUUUCUAGCCUUCCUCUAGGGUCAAUAGACAUAAAGGGAGUGCUUCUCCCCCAUAGGAAGUAUAAGUAUAACUUCACUUCGUAAACAGCAAGGACGGAAUCCAUCUUCCUUCUUACUGAACAAUUCCCAUCCCUUUCCCUUCCUCCGACUAAAAGGUGUUUGAAACAAUACGAAUCAGGGUCUUAUUGGUGGCCUCGGCUUGGCCAUUGCCCUGAGGGUAGAAAGGUGACGAGAAUCUUUUGCCGAAGGUGGCCAUUUGUGUGCGGUUUUGAAUUUCGGGCCGUUGUCGGAGACCUUAGGCACACAGAUCUGGCAAAGAUGUUGCGCAUGAUGAAACGGAUGAGAUGGGCGGCUUCAAUCUUAGUGAAAGAUUCAGCUUCGGCUCAUUUGGUGAAAGAUUUUAGCAAAAUGACUGAAUUUUGCAGAGAUGACUGUUAAGCAUGGUUUUGUUCAUUGUGACCCGCAUGCUGCCAACAUGAUGGUUCGGCUUUUGCCAUCCAGCAAAUGGAAUAUUUUUGGUUCUUAUUUUUGUGUUCGUAAACCAGCUGAAAGCUUGACUGGGAAUGAUUGCCAAGUGGUGUGUUAGGCUAGUGUCGGAAAAGUAACUUUGUAGUGCAUCAUCGUUUGGUUUUCUUUUCCUUUUCUUUUUUUCCCUGAAUGCAGGAAGAAAAAAAGCCUCAACUGAUACUGCUUGAUCAUGGCCUCUAAAAAGAACUUGAUUUAUUCAACUAGAACAAGCUAUGCUGCACUUUGGAAGGGGCUUGUUUUUGCUGAUGUAAAUGCAAUAAAAGAGAAGAGUGUAUUGGGUGCUGGUGAGGAUUAUGCACUGUUUGCUGGGGUACUCAUGAUGAGGCCGUGGAAAAGGGUCAUGUUGAUCAUUUGGUCCUAGAAGGGAAUGAGGGUGAUCGUUCUGAGCUUCAGGUAAGUUGUAAUGUGUUUCUCAAGCAUACAACAACAUGAAUAGCUUUACAUUAUGCUGUUUCGUGUUUGCUUUAGUUACAUUAUUUUUCUUUUCCAUUUUACUUUGAUUGCUGACUGAAUGCUCCAUUUUUUGGGGGUUUUACAUCUUUUCUAACUA